rnacentral:rRNA from 1 species
GUGGGACUUUCGGAGAUCACUCCCAACCCAUGUGAACAUACCUACUGUUGCUUCGGCGGGAUUGCCCCGGGCGCCUCGUGCGCCCCGGAUCAGGCGCCCGCCUAGGAAACUUAACUCUUGUUUUAUUUUGGAAUCUUCUGAGUAGUUUUUACAAAUAAAUAAAAACUUUCAACAACGGAUCUCUUGGUUCUGGCAUCGAUGAAGAACGCAGCGAAAUGCGAUAAGUAAUGUGAAUUGCAGAAUUCAGUGAAUCAUCGAAUCUUUGAACGCACAUUGCGCCCGCCAGUAUUCUGGCGGGCAUGCCUGUCUGAGCGUCAUUUCAACCCUCAUGCCCCUAGGGCGUGGUGUUGGGGAUCGGCCAAAGCCCGCGAGGGACGGCCGGCCCCUAAAUCUAGUGGCGGACCCGUCGUGGCCUCCUCUGCGAAGUAGUAAUAUUCCGCAUCGGACAGCGACGAGCCCCUGCCGUUAAACCCCCAACUUUCCAAGGUUGACCUCAGAUCAGGUAGGAAUACCCGCUGAACUUAAGCAUAUCAAUAAGCCGGAGGAA